GGAGAAAUGGCUGAGCGGUUUAAAGCGAUAGAUUGUAAAUCUAUUGAGUAAUCUCAUCGUAGGUUCGAAUCCUACUUUCUCCU
rnacentral:tRNA from 1 species